rnacentral:rRNA from 1 species
GACAGAGGUGCCGAGCGUUAGGCGGAAUCACUGGGCUUAAAGCGCGUGUAGGCGGACCGUUAAGUGUCUUGUGAAAUCCCCCGGCUCAACCGGGGAACGGCUGGGCAUACUGGCGGUCUUGGGCCACCUAGGGGCGAGCGGAACAGGCGGUGGAGCGGUGAAAUGCGUAGAUAUCGCCUGGAACGCCGACGGUGAAAACAGCUCGCUGGGGGUGUGCCGACGCUGAGACGCGAAAGCCAGGGGAGCGAACGGG